CUACGUGCCAGCAGCCGCGGUAAUACGGAAGGUUCGGGCGUUAUCCGGAUUUAUUGGGUUUAAAGGGAGCGUAGGCCGGAGAUUAAGUGUGUUGUGAAAUGUAGACGCUCAACGUCUGACUUGCAGCGCAUACUGGUUUCCUUGAGUACGCACAACGUUGGCGGAAUUCGUCGUGUAGCGGUGAAAUGCUUAGAUAUGACGAAGAACUCCGAUUGCGAAGGCAGCUGACGGGAGCGCAACUGACGCUGAAGCUCGAAGGUGCGGGUAUCGAACAGGAUUAGAUACCCUGGUAGUCCGCACAGUAAACGAUGGAUGCCCGCUGUUGGUACCUAGUAUCAGCGGCUAAGCGAAAGCAUUAAGCAUCCCACCUGGGGAGUACGCCGGCAACGGUGAAACUCAAAGGAAUUGACGGGGGCCCGCACAAGCGGAGGAACAUGUGGUUUAAUUCGAAGCAACGCGAAGAACCUUACCAAAUCUUGACAUCC
rnacentral:rRNA from 1 species